rnacentral:rRNA from 1 species
AAGGAAGCGAUUCCGGCGGGGGAUGGGCAUGCGGCGCAUUAGCUAGUCGGCGGGGUAACGGCCCACCGAGGCGACGAUGCGUAGGGGUUCUGAGAGGAAGGUCCCCCACACUGGUACUGAGACACGGACCAGACUCCUACGGGAGGCAGCAGUGAGGAAUAUUGGUCAAUGGGCGGGAGCCUGAACCAGCCAAGUCGCGUGAGGGAAGACGGUCCUAUGGAUUGUAAACCUCUUUUGCCGGGGAGCAACGGGGUCCUUGCGAGGGCCUAAUGAGAGUACCCGGAGAAAAAGCAUCGGCUAACUCCGUGCCAGCAGCCGCGGUAAUACGGAGGAUGCGAGCGUUAUCCGGAUUUAUUGGGUUUAAAGGGUGCGUAGGCGGGCUGUUAAGUCAGCGGUCAAAUGUCGGGGCUCAACCCCGGCCUGCCGUUGAAACUGGUGGCCUCGAGUGGGCGAGAAGUAUGCGGAAUGCGUGGUGUAGCGGUGAAAUGCAUAGAUAUCACGCAGAACUCCGAUUGCGAAGGCAGCAUACCGGCGCCCGACUGACGCUGAGGCACGAAAGCGUGGGUAUCGAACAGGAUUAGAUACCCUGGUAGUCCACGCAGUAAACGAUGAAUGCUAGCUGUCCGGGGCUUCGGUCCUGG